AUUUAUCUUUGACCAAUUCCUUUGUUCCAAUCUCCUUAGUCGAUCCAUCCAGCUGCUCUCCACGGACGCCUCUUCCUUUUCAUUUCAUUCGGUGCAGCUUCGUCCACGUCGUUCCUCUUUCCUCCUCCUUCACGGUGCUGCUUCGCUUUCAUUUAUCUCUCUCGGCUGCUGCCUUUCUUUUCUUCUAUUUUGUUUUUGCCGAAGACCACUGCUUCCCCUUGGAUUCGACGCCACCGAUGUUACUCAUCCCCUCCACCGAAACAAUUUCUGCUCAGCACUCACGCACACCUCCACCCACUGAACUUUCCUUGCCACACGUCCACGCCUCCGACACCUCGGUCAACUAAAGGGAUUCUCCCCCAGCAAAGUUGACUCCCCCUGCAGCAGCACGCGUCCAAGCCGUCCAUCUCCACCAUCGGCUUCUCAUUUUGGCCGCGAUUUCUUUGCUCGGUCAGCCUUAGCCGUGAAGCCCCCAUCUUUGAGCGCUUCUGUUUCGUUGUUCUGUCCAGCAAUAAUCGAAAUAGCCUAGCCCACCGAUCCAUCCUUCACGUUGCAGCAGGCCCACACGACCAGCCCUCUCGAAGCCUGCUUCAGCCUUCGAAGUUCAAGACCAAAACCAGCAGCUUCUGUGCCGGUUUUCUCAGCUUGAGUAGCAAGUUCGUAGGCCGAUUUCGGCCCGGUCCGAGCUCUGUUGGCCUCGCCGUGAGCUUAAGUCUCGGCUGCCAUUGUGCCGCCGUCGCCGUGAGCUGAUUUUCGUGCAAACCGGACCAUAGAGAGCGGACUUGGAGCUGAGCUGAGGUGACUUGAAGAGCAUGUUAGAUAGGACAACCUCUUUUUGAGAACUAGUCUUUUGGUUAUAGACUUGUGUAAAUGACUCAGUAUGUUUAUAAAAGUGUGGUUUGUUUGAUAA